UUGUUCAUUAAGCUAUACAUAUAGCAACUUAUUUCAUUUUGUCAUCUUAAAGUUCCAUACAUAAAAAAAAAAAAAAAUUUAAUUUUUUUCUAAUUAAAUUAAAACAUGAAGCAACAAUCUGCACCAACUACUGUUGGUGCUGGAGAGUUCUCUACUGGUCUUUGUGAUUGUUUUUCUGAUAUUCCUCUAUGUGGUUUGACAUGUUUGUGUCCAUGCAUUACCUUUGGACGUAUCGCAGAGAUUGUUGACAAAGGCUCGCCAUGAUGGCACGGUCAGAAGCAAAACCAAGGACUAGUGGCUCCGUCGAUGCCAGGUGGCAUGACCAGAUAGGCUGCAUGAAAGAAUGAAGAACUUUAAAUUAUAAGUAGUUCAUGUAUUUGAACCCCUAAAAAAACCUCCAUUAAAACUUGCAUGUUUUUUUUUUCAAUUAGUUCUUUCAAUGUAGAGGUUAAGUAUUAAUUCACCUGAGAAUUAUACCUAGGCCGCUACUCUGUUUCUCACUAAAAUCCUAGUCUCUCCUACUCCUAGUCUCUCCUACUCCUUUUUCACCCGUUAAAGCUCUAUUUUCUCUUUUUAUUUUCAGUUUUUAGUUCUCCUUCUCUCCUACGAGAGUUGUGAGUAUGGUUUUUUUUUUUGUUUUUAGGUAUGAGAAAUUAUUCUCAUUAGUUGAAAUUCGAGGCUCAACAUAAAUUAUUGGACUUUGGAUGCGGUAAACAUGGCUCGAUCAAGAAUGUUUUUUCCAAAAUUUGUCAGAAUGAUAUACUUCCUCAUCAAUAGUUGCUUGAUUCAGCAAAUACAAGGGGAUUGCGCUGUUCGAUCUGGUUCAUUGUAGUUUUUUCGAAGACAAAUUUGAUUUAACCUUGUUUGGUUGUAUCUUGUUUUUCUUUAAUAUCUAUUGUAAUUCCGUUUGGCCUUCAAUUAAUGAAAUUUCUCCUUCUAAAAAAAGUAUUAAGUAA